UACGGGGGGGUAAGCGUUGUUCGGAAUUACUGGGCGGUAAAGGGCUCGUGAGGCGGCCAACUAAGUCAGACGUGAAAUCCCUCAGCUUAACUGGGGAACUGCGUACUGAUACUGGAUGGCUUGGAUUCGGGGAGAGGAAUGGCGGAAUUCCAGGUGGUAGCGGUAGAAAAUGCGUAGAUAUCGGGAGGAACACCAAUGGCGAAGGCAGCUCGCUGGGCCCACUAGUGAACGGCUGAGUAAGGCGGAAAAGCAUGGGGGAGCCGAACGAGGA
rnacentral:rRNA from 1 species